ACCUCUUUCUUCCUCAAUAAAUCUGAACCGUUGAUUAUAUAUGAUACUGUCCUUCACCAUAAAGCAACCUCAUUUUUGUCUUAUCUUGAAUUUACAAAUAAAGCUUUGAAAGCUUUCAUCAAUGGCGGUUUUAGAUCUCAUGUUUACUUCGUGAAGAAGGAUUCUUGUCUUCCAAACAACCCAACUACCCAUAUUCAGCUGAAAAAGAAGAAAGAAAAAAAAAACCCAGAAGAAUUACGUCAUUUCUAGAUUAAUAAUGAUGUGGGUUCGAAAUAAAUUCGUGUAAAGAAUUGAUUUUUGGGUUUGGGUUUGUUUCGAGAAAGUGAUUAGAGUUUGAUUGUUCGGUUCUGGGGUCAUUUUCUUUCGAAGGAAAGUGAGAGAAAA